GGCAGCAGUGGGGAAUCUUCCGCAAUGGGCGCAAGCCUGACGGAGCAACGCCGCGUGGGUGAGGAAGGCCUUCGGGUUGUAAAGCCCUGUCUUAUGGGAAGAAGAAAGUGACGGUACCAUAGGAGGAAGCCACGGCUAACUACGUGCCAGCAGCCGCGGUAAUACGUAGGUGGCAAGCGUUGUCCGGAAUUACUGGGCGUAAAGGGCGAGUAGGCGGUUACUUAAGUCAGGUGUGAAAACUGCGGGCUCAACCCGGAGAUUGCACCUGAUACUGGGUGACUUGAGUGCAGGAGAGGGCAGUGGAAUUCCUAGUGUAGCGGUGAAAUGCGUAGAUAUAUGGAGGAACACCAGUGGCGAAGGCGACUUUCUGGUCUGUUACUGGCACUGAGGCUCGAAAGCGUGGGGAGCAAACAGGAUUAGAUACCCUGGUAGUCCACGCCGUAAACGAUGAGUGCUAAGUGU
rnacentral:rRNA from 1 species